ACGGGGGGGGCAAGCGUUGUUCGGAAUUAUUGGGCGUAAAGGGCGUGUAGGCGGUGCGGUAAGUCUUCUGUGAAAUCUCCGGGCCUAACCCGGAAAGUGCAGAGGGGACUGCUCGGCUAGAGGAUGGGAGAGGAGCGCGGAAUUCCCGGUGUAGCGGUGAAAUGCGUAGAGAUCGGGAGGAAGGCCGGUGGCGAAGGCGGCGCUCUGGAACAUUUCUGACGCUGAGGCUCGAAAGCGUGGGGAGCAAACAGGA
rnacentral:rRNA from 1 species